UUCACAGUUUGACCCUCCAGUUUAGGCUGUAGAUAUAGGACAAGCUGCAGUUCUGUUACAUCAGAGAGGGAAAGGAGAGAGACAACUAUAAAGCUUUUCCAUUUAUUUUCUGUUCUAAGAACUUUAACUUAACAAUUCUCGUGGUAUUAGGCCAGAGCUGUCUCUAACAUUUGUGGUCUUCUCUGAGGGCACACAGGGAGAACAUUGUUCAGCAUAAGCACUGGUCUUUUUUUCUUUGUAUCCCUUUUAUAGCAGAGCUUACCUGCCACAAACCUGCGGGAUAAUGUUCACGGUACCUUCAGCAGCUUUCAUGGAAGCUGCUUUUUGAGAAGAUGGGGUACUGAUGGAGACGGCAGAGGGUCCUUGCUGCCACUGACGACCCUGAAGGCUGUGUGAUGGUAGCUGUGGCUAGGAACCCCCAGCUCCAUACACUCUGGUACCCUUGCAGCAACAUGUCAUGGGGCCAAGUCAUGGUGCUGACAAGUGCUGCAGAGCUGGGGAACCCCCAUGGCAAAGCAACAAUCUCCCCUUGCUCCUGUGCAAAGGACUUGCUGGCUUCUCCCCUCCUUCUGCCCACGCUGACUGGAUUGGGAGCAGACCAAGCGACCAGAAUGCUCCUUGAACAGCUGCAAAUCCAGAAAGGGAUUCUUGUUCCUGUGUUAAAUAUAAGCCUGGAAGAGUCACCGGUGUGACUGCAUCCGAAGCACAGCUCCACUGCUAGACAAGAGGCGAGCGGCUCUGAGUCACUCCCUGGGAGCAGGCUGGGGCUGUCAGGAUGGUGUCUGGGCCAGGGGCAUGUGUUGGCUUGCUCUCCCCAAGGCCCUGCACCCGGGCUGGCACCUUAACAGCUGGGUGAUGAGGCAGAGCUGGGCUUCUUGUGAAACAUACCGAUGCUCCGCACUUGCCAAAACAGCUAUUUGGGAGCAGCUCGAUGUGCUCUUCAUCCCCUGCUGGCCCUGGCCUCAGCGUGGUUACAUCCAGUAAAUGCAGCACAGGAUGGGGAGAGAAACUUCUGUAUUAGCUUCCUUCUCAAGCCUGGAGCAGGGGCCACAAAGGUACCAGUGAAUGAAAUCCAUCUGUCUAUGUAACCACACAUGACUCUGACCCUUUCAAACACUGGUUUCAGCUUUGCAAACAAGCACAUCCCUUCUGUUGUAUGUGCUAUCACAAGCAGCACCUCUUUGUAGGGAAGGUGCGCUGCCAUAAGCAGCAGUGAGAGCUGAGCUGCCAAAACCCCUGCCUAUACCAGAUCCUCCCCUGGCAGAGAGGCUUCAUGUCCUAAAUGCCCCUUUUCAACCAGAGCUCAGUGUUGUUGCGUCUGCCUGUGAUGUUCAGCUGAGACCCCUCAGCAGUAGGGGGUAGAUUUUGAUCCUUCCCUUUGAUCACUUCUUGAGUGUAUCAAUUUAAGCCCCUUCCAGCUUUCCCAGAACAAACAACAAACUUUGUGGUCCCUUGGGAAAAGAAAUGUGGUUUUUUUCUCUGUGGAUGUGUUUUCUCUCUUCUCAGAUGUGAAUCAAACCAAACCCAGGGGUAUUCCUAAAGCAGAGCCCAGCUGGUUUGUAGAGCUGGUAGUAUGUUAUGGACCCCACUUGUGAAGCAUCUGAGACUGGCAGUUGAAAACUGAGAAAAAUGGGGAAGAUUUGGCUACAUAAUACAACAGAAGAUAGUUUUUAUUGCCAUGGUUUUAAUGGAAUUGCAGUAGGAUUUUUAUAUGAGUCUCUGAAAGUCUGUGACUUCAAAUAACUCUGAACCUCCAGAUUUGUACUCUCACCUUGUUCUUGUUUAAAUAGAUGUUACCAUCACCUGCUUGA